CAACAUCUCAUGUUGAUUUCACCUCUGCAAUAACUCUUAUCCAUUUCACUUUUACAAUAUCUCAGGUUGAUUUCACCUCUGCCACACCUGUGGGUUUCACCUUUUCAACAUUUCUCCUUGAUUUCACCUCUUGUCCAUUUUACCUCUGCAGCAUCUCUUGUCCAUUUCCUCUUUGCAGCAUCUUUUGUCCAUUUCACCUCUGCAGCAUCUCUUGUCCAUUUCCUCUUUGCAGCAUCUCUUGUCCAUUUCCCCUUUGCAGCAUCUCUUGUCCAUUUUCCCUUUGUAGCAUUUCUAGCCCAUCUGCAACAUCUCUGAUUAAUUUUACUUUUGCAGCCUCUCUUGUUCGUUUCACUUCUGAAGCAUCUCUUGUCCGUUUCCCCUUUGCAGCAUCUUUUGUCCAUUUUCCCUUUGUAACAUCUCUUGCCCAUUUCCCCUUGCAGCAUCUUUUGUCCAUUUUCCCUUUGUAACAUCUCUUUUCUAUUUCCCCUUUGCAGCAUCUCUUGUCCUUUUCAUCUCUGCAGCAUCUCUUUUCUAUUUCCCCUUUGCAGCAUCUUUUGUUCAUUUUCUCUUUGUAGCAUUUCUUCCCCAUUUCCCCUUUGCAACAUCUCUGAUCAAUUUACCUUUGCAGCAUCUCUGGUUGAUUCUACCUUUGCAGCAUUUCUUGUCCAUUUCCCCUUUGCAGCAUCUCUUGUCCAUUUCACCUCUGCAGCAUCUUUUGUCCAUUUUCCCUUUGCAACACCUCUGAUCAAUUUUACCUUUGCAGCAUCUCUAGUUGAUUUUACCUUUACAGCAUCUCUUAUCCAUCUCACCUUUGCAACAAUUCUGGUCAAUUUUACCUUUGUAACAUCUUUUGUUCAUUUCACCUUUGCAGCAUCUCUGGUCAAUUCCACCUUUGCAGCAGCUCGUGAAUAUAUCUUCUUCUCUACUCUGACAUUGCUCCCACCUUAGUGCAGGCCCUCUUUACUGCACACCUGAAUUACUGCUGGUGGCUCUUCCUAUGUCUAGAUUCAUCCUCCACUCUGAUGUAAAAGUGAUCUCCUAAAGUCUGCACUUUAGGAUUAGAAUUACUUCUGGACAUGUAAAUCUUGUUGAUAAACUUCAGUAACUCCCUUUUAACAACAAAAAGCAUUUAUCAAAUACCUACUAUGUGCUAAAUAUUAGAAAUACCAAGGAAAGACAGUCCCUGCUCUUAAGGAGCU
rnacentral:lncRNA from 1 species